UGGGGAAUAUUGCACAAUGGGCGCAAGCCUGAUGCAGCCAUGCCGCGUGUAUGAAGAAGGCCUUCGGGUUGUAAAGUACUUUCAGUCGGGAGGAAGGUGGUAAGGUUAAUAACCUUAUCAAUUGACGUUACCGACAGAAGAAGCACCGGCUAACUCCGUGCCAGCAGCCGCGGUAAUACGGAGGGUGCAAGCGUUAAUCGGAAUUACUGGGCGUAAAGCGCACGCAGGCGGUUGAUUGAGUCAGAUGUGAAAUACCCGGGCUUAACCCGGGAAUUGCAUCUGAUACUGGUCAGCUAGAGUCUUGUAGAGGGGGGUAGAAUUCCAUGUGUAGCGGUGAAAUGCGUAGAGAUGUGGAGGAAUACCGGUGGCGAAGGCGGCCCCCUGGACAAAGACUGACGCUCAGGUGCGAAAGCGUGGGGAGCAAACAGG
rnacentral:rRNA from 1 species